GACGAACGCUGGCGGCGUGCUUAACACAUGCAAGUCGAACGGAAAGGCCCUGCUUUUGUGGGGUGCUCGAGUGGCGAACGGGUGAGUAACACGUGAGUAACCUGCCCUUGACUUUGUGAUAACUUCAGGAAACUGGGGCUAAUACCGGAUAGGAGCUCCUGCUGCAUGGUGGGGGUUGGAAAGUUUCGGCGGUUGGGGAUGGACUCGCGGCUUAUCAGCUUGUUGGUGGGGUAGUGGCUUACCAAGGCUUUGACGGGUAGCCGGCCUGAGAGGGUGACCGGCCACAUUGGGACUGAGAUACGGCCCAGACUCCUACGGGAGGCAGCAGUGGGGAAUAUUGCACAAUGGGCGGAAGCCUGAUGCAGCAACGCCGCGUGCGGGAUGACGGCCUUCGGGUUGUAAACCGCUUUCGCCUGUGACGAAGCGUGAGUGACGGUAAUGGGUAAAGAGGCACCGGCUAACUACGUG
rnacentral:rRNA from 1 species